rnacentral:rRNA from 1 species
CCUGAGAAACCCAAAAGAUCGAACGGGGAGAUUCACCGUCAGCGCGACUGGCUUCCGUGUGGCUCGCGAUGGCCGGGACCUCGGUCCUGCGUCACGCGGUCGCUGCGGUAUGUCUGGCUGCGUCGGCGUGCACUUCUCCCCUAGUAGGACGUCGCGACCCGUUGGGUGUCGGACCGAUGGCCGUUUGGUCGCCUGUCUCGUCGCGUUCACGCGCGCACGGGGCAGACCGAAACGGUCGAGCGUCCGGCUGCCCGGCGGUAUAGAACGCUUGAGAACGGUAAUGAGCCGCAUUAUAAGUGCGUUCAGGCGCGUCGGCAGGCUCGUCUCGCCCGGAUUUACGGACCUAGCGCCGUUGCCGGGUGCUUGGCGUGGCCGUUAGUCGACGCUGUCCUCGGACUGGCUCUACCGGUCGGCGACGCUACUGCUUUGGGUACUUUC